GGGCCUAUAGCUCAGUCGGUUAGAGCAUCUGACUCAUAAUCAGGGGGUCCCUGGUUCGAGCCCAGGUGGGCCCA
rnacentral:tRNA from 1 species